rnacentral:rRNA from 1 species
UGGGCGAAAGCCUGACGCAGCAACGCCGCGUGACCGAUGAAGCUUCUAGGAGUGUAAAGGUCUGUCGUGAGGGAAGAAAAAUCCGGAUGUAAAUAAUGUUCGGACGUGACGGUACCUCACAAGAAAGCACCGGCUAACUUAGUGCCAGCAGCCGCGGUAAUACUAGGGGUGCUAGCGUUGUCCGGAAUCACUGGGCGUAAAGGGUCCGUAGGCGUUUUGCUAAGUUGAUUGUUAAAUCCAUCGGCUCAACCGAUGAUCUGCAAUCAAAACUGGUAGAAUAGAGUUCGAGAGAGGAAAGUGGAAUUCCUGGUGUAGCGGUGACAUGCGUAGAUAUCAGGAGGAACACCAAUGGCGAAGGCAGCUUUCUGGCUCGAUACUGACGCUGAGGGACGAAAGCGUGGGGAGCGAACAGGAUUAGAUACCCUGGUAGUCCACGCCGUAAACGAUGAGUACUUGAUGAUGGAGGAUUCGACCCCUUCGUUGUCGUAGCUAACGCGAUAAGUACUCCGCCUGGGGACUACGACCGCAAGGUUG